ACCCCAUAUCUUAGUCCACUUCUCCUCAGCUCCCCUCUGUUUAUACAUGAUUUUCUCAUAGUUUUUUACCUUAUCAAUUAGGUUUAUCCAUAUGUUUAUAUCUGGAGUAUAUUGAGCAAACCAGGUCCGACUGACCAACACUCUGGCCAACAUCAGUAUCCUGCCCAGGAAAAUCUUUUGAUACUUAUGAUUAUUUAUUUUGGAGAGAUCAUUAAGCAAGAAUACUUGUGGUUCAAAAGGGAUUCGUAUUUUUAGUUUAUACAUGAUCAAAUUAUUGAUGGUAUUCCAAUAAUUUAUAAGUUCUGGGCAGGUCCAGAUCAUAUGAAGAUAGUCCGCUCCUGAAGUAUCGCAUUUAGGGCAGUUAGACGUGUCUCUUAGUCCACAUUUGUUCAUCCAUAAAGGAGUGAUAUAUAAUCUGUGGCAAAUAUAAAAUUGUACUAAAACUGUGGGUAAAGUUCUGGGAUAGUGAGUCUAAGUUCCCAA